rnacentral:rRNA from 1 species
UGGGGAAUAUUGCACAAUGGUCGCAAGCCUGAUGCAGCCAUGCCGCGUGUAUGAAGAAGGCCUUCGGGUUGUAAAGUACUUUCAGCGGGGAGGAAGGGAGUAAAGUUAAUACCUUUGCUCAUUGACGUUACCCGCAGAAGAAGCACCGGCUAACUCCGUGCCAGCAGCCGCGGUAAUACGGAGGGUGCAAGCGUUAAUCGGAAUUACUGGGCGUAAAGCGCACGCAGGCGGUCUGUCAAGUCGGAUGUGAAAUCCCCGGGCUUAACCUGGUAACUGCAUUCGAAACUGGCAGGCUAGAGUCUUGUAGAGGGGGGUAGAAUUCCAGGUGUAGCGGUGAAAUGCGUAGAGAUCUGGAGGAAUACCGGUGGCGAAGGCGGCCCCCUGGACAAAGACUGACGCUCAGGUGCGAAAGCGUGGGGAGCAAACAGG